GGCCGCAUGGUCUAGAGGUAAGAUUCUCCGUUCGGGGAUUCUGAUCGGAGAGAUCGUGGGUUCGAUUCCCACUGCAGCCC